rnacentral:rRNA from 1 species
AACGCUAGCUACAGGCUUAACACAUGCAAGUCGAGGGGAAACGACAUCGAAAGCUUGCUUUUGAUGGGCGUCGACCGGCGCACGGGUGAGUAACGCGUAUCCAACCUGCCCACCACUUGGGGAUAACCUUGCGAAAGUAAGACUAAUACCCAAUGAUAUCUCUAGAAGACAUCUGAAAGAGAUUAAAGAUUUAUCGGUGAUGGAUGGGGAUGCGUCUGAUUAGCUUGUUGGCGGGGUAACGGCCCACCAAGGCAACGAUCAGUAGGGGUUCUGAGAGGAAGGUCCCCCACAUUGGAACUGAGACACGGUCCAAACUCCUACGGGAGGCAGCAGUGAGGAAUAUUGGUCAAUGGGCGAGAGCCUGAACCAGCCAAGUAGCGUGCAGGAUGACGGCCCUAUGGGUUGUAAACUGCUUUUAUAGGGGAAUAAAGUGAGUCUCGUGAGACUUUUUGCAUGUACCUUAUGAAUAAGGACCGGCUAAUUCCGUGCCAGCAGCCGCGGUAAUACGGAGGGUCCGGGCGUUAUCCGGAUUUAUUGGGUUUAAAGGGAGCGUAGGCCGGAGAUUAAGCGUGUUGUGAAAUGUAGACGCUCAACGUCUGCACUGCAGCGCGAACUGGUUUCCUUGAGUACGCACAAAGUGGGCGGAAUUCGUGGUGUAGCGGUGAAAUGCUUAGAUAUCACGAAGAACUCCGAUUG